AACUUUCGGCAAUGGAUCUCUUGGCUCUCGCAUCGAUGAAGAACGCAGCGAAAUGCGAUAGGUAAUGUGAAUUGCAGAAUUCAGUGAAUCAUCGAAUCUUUGAACGCACCUUGCGCUCCUUGGUAUUCCGAGGAGCAUGCCUGUUUGAGUGUCAUUAAUAUAUAUAUCAAACUUCUCUUGUUGAGUGGUUUGGAUGUGGGGGUUUGCUGGACUCUUGAAGGGUUCAGCUCCCCUGAUAUGCAUUAGCAGAACAAGCCUUUUCAUUGGUGUGAUAACUAUCUACGCUGUUGAAUGUGAGGGGCAGUUCAGCUUUCUAACAGUCCUUGGACAAUUCAUCAUUAAUGUGACCUCAAAUCAGGUAGGACUACCCGCUGAACUUAAGCAUAUCAAUAAGCGGAGGCU
rnacentral:misc_RNA from 1 species